GACAGAGGGGGCAAGCGUUGCUCGGAAUUACUGGGCGUAAAGGGCGCGUAGGCGGCACGGCAAGUCGGGAGUGAAAGGCCUGGGCUCAACCGAGGAACUGCUUUCGAGACUGCCGAGCUAGAGUGCGGAAGGGGCAACUGGAAUUCCCAGUGUAGCGGUGAAAUGCGUAGAUAUUGGGAAGAACACCGGUGGCGAAGGCGGCUCUCUGGACCGAGACUGACGCUGAGGCGCGAAAGCGUGGGGAGCAAACAGG
rnacentral:rRNA from 1 species